rnacentral:tRNA from 1 species
GGUCCUGUAGCUCAGCUGGAUAGAGCAUCGGUUUCCUAAACCGUGUGUCGUGAGUUCGAACCUCACCAGGAUCA